ensembl:snRNA U6 U6 spliceosomal RNA
GUGGUCGCUUCGGUAGCACAUAGACUAGAAUAAUGACACAGAGAAGACUGGCAUGGCCCUGUGCAAGGAUGACAUGCAAAUUCUGAAGGAAAGUCUGAUUAUU